rnacentral:lncRNA from 1 species
AUGAACUGCAUGUUUGAGACCUUUCUGUUCUCUGCUCUUGGGCCUUUUCUGGAGAGAAUCUGUCACCUUUCAGCUUGUCUUCUCUGGCUGUUUCACUCUCUCUUGCCCUGGUCAAGAAACCUUGAAAUGUUUGCACAUGUGGCCUCUCACCUUUCUUCCCUGCAUCCCCAAAAGGGGACAAUCUCAUGCUUCUGGUGUUCCUGGGAUGUUUACCUAAGCCGCACUAAAACUGUUUCCCUGUGUGGAGUAAUUUUCAGAUACAACAAGAAACUGAGCCAGUCUCCUGGGAAGUGACGACUACUUGCAUGUAGCUGAGUGAUAAGGACUUGUUGUAGAAUGAGGACCUUCAUCUUGAGUGUGGAUUUAACCAGUUGGACAACAAAAGAGUCAGCAAGUGGUGAGUGGUGGAUUGUGAGAACCAAGGACCUGCCUUUCUUCCUGCUCUCCCUUCUGAGCAUUGUCACCAAGCAGUGUGUUCAUUUACUUGCUAUCUUGUCUCCUUUGCUGAUGUUUCAUGUGUCAACAUCUCCUUGUUAACAAGAUUCUUGUGAUCUUGGCUCACAUUUUUACAACCUACUUGGAGUCUCUGAAAUCACAGUGCCAGAGUUGGGAUCCCUUAGCACCUGAUGACCUCAUCAGCAGAGCUAAUAAGCCUAAGUUCAGGCAGUGCCAAGCCCCAUCAAGGAUGUGCAGGAAAACCUACCAUGCCCUGCAUGAAAUAAGACACCAGAACUCCGAGACAUAAUUUUUAUGUGUGUUAACAUACAGUAAAAACCAGUGAUCCUUCUAUACCUCCGGUUUCUUUUUGUUUUCGGCUACUUUUUGUUUUCCAUGCUUUGACACAUGAAAAAUUGAUACAAUGGGGCUGGAGAGAUAGCUCAGUGGUUAAGAGAAUGCACUGCUUUUUCCAGAGGUCAGGAGUUCGGUUGUCACUGCAUAUAUGGGACAAAUAACAACUGCCUGGACCUGCAGCUCUGGGAAAUUCGAGGCCUCCAUCUCUGAGCACCGGCACAUGUGUGCUCAUACCCACACAGAAACACACAGGCAUGUGCAGGUUUUAAAGACUAAUAAGAUAAAUCUAAAGCAAUCAAUAUUGUGUAACCUGGUGGGAAGUGACAUGGGUUUAUCCUCAAGUAGGCCUGGCAUCUGGCUUCCACCCCAUUUCAUAUCAGAUGUGAGCAUUUGUAGAAUGCCUUAACUGUAGGAGUUUUCAUUUACUAAUGGGUAGAUGGAAAGAGUGAUAAUUUACUGAAUUUUUUUUAGAGAAUUAAAUGUUACAAUUGUGACAAGUCAC